GAUGAACGCUAGCGGCAGGCCUAAUACAUGCAAGUCGGACGGGAUUGGAGAGCUUGCUUUCCAUGAGAGUGGCGCACGGGUGCGUAACACGUAUGUAACCUACCUUGUUCAGGGGGAUAGCCUCUCGAAAGAGAGAUUAAGACCGCAUAACAUCACGCUAUAGCAUUAUAAUGUGAUCAAAUAUUUAUAGGAACAAGAUGGGCAUGCGGAACAUUAGCUAGUUGGUAAGGUAAUGGCUUACCAAGGCUACGAUGUUUAGGGGAUCUGAGAGGA
rnacentral:rRNA from 1 species